rnacentral:pre_miRNA from 1 species
UUAACUCAAAUUUGUAUGGAGUUGGAACAGCGCCCCUAGCGGCAAACGUAGGCAAACGUUCAAACUCCAUACAAAUUCGAGUAA